ensembl:lncRNA
GGCUUCAAUAUGCAAACGUCUGGAGGACACAAUUCAGUCCACAACAGCUGGGGUGAGACAGUAGGAUGAGCCAGUGGCCGGGAUAUGGGGAUUUUAAGGACCGAGUAAGUCAUGCUAGAUUAAUUUUUCCAUUGACAUCAAGAGCAACGAAGAACACUAUUCCCAAUAGUCUUUCCCAGCAUCAGGAUCUUUUCCAAUGAGUCAGCUCUACGCAUCAGGUGGACAAAGUAUUGAACUUUCAGCUUCAGCAUCAGUCCUUCCAAUGAAUAUUCAGGGUUGAUUUCCUUUAGGAUUGACUGGUUUGAUCUCCUUGCUAUCCAGGGAACUCUCAAGCGUCUUCUCCAGCACCACAGUUCAACAGCAUCAAUUCUUCGGCACUCAGACUUCUUUAUAGUCCAACUUUUACAUCCAACCAUGACUGAAAAAUCAUAGCUUUAACUAGAUGGACCUUUGUCAGCAAAGUGAUGUCUCUGCUUUUUAAUACUGGGUCAGCUAACAUUACCGAGGUGGGGACACUGAAGUCCAGAGGGGGAAGGACCACAAACGUCUCAGAGCACCUCAAUGGCACAGCAGACUGUGUUUCCUGUAGAUUCAAGGUGGUCACAGCAUGAGACUGGGAGUCAAAUGUGAAACAGCCCGUUGAAGGC